rnacentral:rRNA from 1 species
AUUAGCUUGUUGGUGAGGUAAAGCCACCAAGGCUAUGAUAGAUAGCUGGUCUUAGAGGAUGAACAGCCACAAUGGGAUUGAGAUACGGCCCAUAUUCCUACGGGAAGCAGCAGUAGGGAAUCUUCCACAAUGGGCGAAAGCCUGAUGGAGCAUACCAUGUGAACGAUGAAGGUCUUUUUGAUUGUAAAGUUCUUUUAUGAGGGAUAACAA